rnacentral:rRNA from 1 species
UACGGGGGGGGCAAGCGUUGUUCGGAAUUACUGGGCGUAAAGGGCUCGUAGGCGGCCAACUAAGUCAGACGUGAAAUCCCUCGGCUUAACCGGGGAACUGCGUCUGAUACUGGAUGGCUAGAGGUUGGGAGAGGGAUGCGGAAUUCCAGGUGUAGCGGUGAAAUGCGUAGAUAUCAGGAGGAACACCCAUGGCGAAGGCAGGUUACUGGGCAUUAUCUGACGCUGAGGCGCGAAAGCGUGGGUAGCAAACAGG